AGAUGAAGCCAGAACUGAAACAGGGAAGACUAGAUUGGUGGAGAGGCAGCAUACAGCCCUUAUGCUCUUGGUGAAUUGCAUCUGUAGUAGAUGGAGAACUGGUAGAAAAAUGGCUGGAGUAGUUAUGAAAGACUGAUUAUUAACAUUCACUCCAAAGCUGGGUUUGCAGAUGUG